AAGUCGUAACAAGGUUUCCGUAGGUGAACCUGCGGAAGGAUCAUUAAUAAAUGGCGAAAGCUUUUAUCAUUAUCUACACCUGUGAACUAUUGCCUUCGGGCUACAAACAUAAUGUAAUGAAUGUAAACUAUUAUAACAAAAUUAUAACUUUCAACAACGGAUCUCUUGGCUCUC
rnacentral:misc_RNA from 1 species